AUGGCCUCUCGCCUGGCCGAUGUCACCGCGGUUCUUGCUGGACAAGGCCCUCUCUCGCCUGCAACUAUCAGGAGCAUCGCCAAGCUGCUCAGGAGAGGGCCUACGAUUAUGGAUGAUCUCACCAACCUAUCACUGGAUCAUCUUUGUGGUAAGAAGAAGAAUAAGAAGAGAAAGAGAAGCGAGCAGACAGCAGAAACCAUAGAGGGGAGCAGGGCACAUAAAAAGCUUGGUCCUCAGUUGACAUUCAGAUACACACUGGCUCUGAAGCUUUUGCUCCUCGGCAAGAUCCAUGGGCACUACUUGCAGGCACUUGCCAAGCUGCCUCGGGAUGGCUUGCGCAAGCUUCACCACUGCAGCCUCCUCAGGGGUGGAUAUUGCUAUGGCCCCAAGGAUCCUGUCUCCAACAUUAUCCUCAACACCAUCUGGUAUGGCUCCAUGUUUCCCACGCCCCAAAAGUUUCAGCUACAGUUUAAGGUGGAUAUGAUAUGCACAGACAUGCUUGCACGCAUUGAGUGCUGUUCUCUUUACGGCCUUGUUACCUUCCUUCGCACCCGUCUCCUCUCUAUCUCGGAGCAUGAUGCAAUCUGGUAUCUGUUCAGGAGCGAUGCUGAUGUCCACAAGGCCAUCCGUGAGGCAAUGAAGCAUGAUCAUUCUGUGUCUGGCAGUUACCAGGACGCCUAUAGGCAAGCAGCGGUUGUUUCAUGGCAUGAUGACCCUGAUGCGCUGGUGAAAUUUGCCAUGUCUUCCUUGAACAUGGAGUCCGCCCAGUUGUUAACUAUAUUGCAGGGCACACUCACCAACGGCAGAGUUGAAUGCCUCACCAUGGCUCUGCCACAUCAAUAUCCACCUACCAAGUCUGAGGAGCAGGCUCAGCAAGUGACCCAGGCGACCUCAAACUCACAUGUCUUGAGCAAAAACCAGAAAAGGUUCAUUUCAGAGUUCCAGAAAAAAUUCAGGCGCGACCAAAACUUCUUUGUCAGAAAGGUCAAGGCGGCAUUGAGCGACUACUCCCAGCAAAAAGGGGUGCACUAUAAACUUCAUAUCAUUUGCGGUGUGAAUCCUAGUGUACCGGGCGGAUCAAGUGUUGCUCUUUUUAAGAAGAGGUUCCCAUUUGAGUACUUCCAUAUCAACUUCUUGGCAACAGCCAAGGGACCAAAUUCUGCUGUUGCAGCUCCAGAACUGUUCUUCGCUCAAUGUAGCAAUAGUGUCGAAGAGAGGCGGAAGAGACCUUCCUGGUGCUCCCCUGUAUCAGAUUCUCGCAUAGAUAAUGUUCGAUGCUUCUCUUGUGAGUUUAAUGGGGCAAAGAUUGUGCAUCCAUAUGAUGAAUCAUAUUGUGGGCGCUACGAAGAUUUCAAUAUUAUAGCUCAGGGAAAACAUGGCACUCCGAAUGAUCUUAUUAUCAGCUCCUGCCAUUAUCAUUCUGACAUGAUGGCCACAAUGACAGAAGAUUUUAUCUAUUUUGAUCCCAACAUGGACUCAGAGUUUGCAAAGAUGAAUCCUAUUUCUAAUGUGGCUAGGGAGUUGAAAGGAUUUAAGGGUAGAAUCUUCUGA
rnacentral:rRNA from 1 species